GACGAACGCUGGCGGCGUGCUUAACACAUGCAAGUCGAACGAAGAGCGAUGGAAGCUUGCUUCUAUCAAUCUUAGUGGCGAACGGGUGAGUAACGCGUAAUCAACCUGCCCUUCAGAGGGGGACAACAGUUGGAAACGACUGCUAAUACCGCAUACGAUCUAAUCUCGGCAUCGAGGAUAGAUGAAAGGUGGCCUCUACAUGUAAGCUAUCACUGAAGGAGGGGAUUGCGUCAGAUUAGCUAGUCGGAGGGGUAACGGCCCACCAAGGCGAUGAUCAGUAGCCGGUCUGAGAGGAUGAACGGCCACAUUGGGACUGAGACACGGCCCAGACUCCUACGGGAGGCAGCAGUGGGGAAUCUUCCGCAAUGGACGAAAGUCUGACGGAGCAACGCCGCGUGAGUGAUGACGGCCUUCGGGUUGUAAAGCUCUGUUAAUCGGGACGAAAGGCCUUCUUGCGAAUAGUGAGAAGGAUUGA
rnacentral:rRNA from 1 species